UACUGCUCAGUAACACGUGGAUAAAUGCCCUUGGGACCGGCAUAACCCCGGGAAACUGGGGAUAAUUAAGGAUAACGCAUAUAUGCUGGAAUGCUUUAUGCGUGAAAUGGAUUCGUCUGCCCAAGGAUGGGUCUGCGGCCUAUCAGGUAGUAGUGGGUGUAAUGUACCUACUAGCCUACAACGGGUACGGGUUGUGAGAGCAAGAGCCCGGAGAUGGAUUCUGAGACAUGAAUCCAGGCCCUACGGGGCGCAGCAGGCGCGAAAACUUUACAAUGCGGGAAACCGUGAUAAGGGGACACCGAGUGCCAGCAUCAUAUGCUGGCUGUCCAGGUGUGUAAAAUACACCUGUUAGCAAGGGCCGGGCAAGACCGGUGCCAGCCGCCGCGGUAACACCGGCGGCCCGAGUGGUGAUCGUGAUUAUUGGGUCUAAAGGGUCCGUAGCCGGUUUGGUCAGUCCUCCGGGAAAUCUGACAGCUCAACUGUUAGGCUUUCGGGGGAUACUGCCAGACUUGGAACCGGGAGAGGUAAGAGGUACUACAGGGGUAGGAGUGAAAUCUUGUAAUCCCUGUGGGACCACCUGUGGCGAAGGCGUCUUACCAGGACGGGUUCGACGGUGAGGGACGAAAGCUGGGGGCACGAACCGGAUUAGAUACCCGGGUAGUCCCAGCCGUAAACGAUGCUCGCUAGGUGUCAGGCAUGGCGCGACCGUGUCUGGUGCCGCAGGGAAGCCGUGAUGCGAGCCACCUGGGAAGUACGGCCGCAAG
rnacentral:rRNA from 1 species